rnacentral:ncRNA from 2 species
CCGGGCAAAGAUCGCGCCGGUGCCCGGAAGGGCUCAAUCGGGAAUGCGGUGCGGGGCCAUGGCGCCCCAAAUCCGCGGCUGUCCCUGCAACUGUAAGCGGCGAGCGCGAUGCAUACCGCCUUUCCCGAUAUCGGCGGGGAGGGCAGCCACUGGGCCGGACGCCAAGACGGGCGAGGCCUGGGAAGGCAUGCAUCAAGCCCUGACCCGCAAGCCAGGAGACCGGCCGGCGCUUGGUCGCUCAU